UACAGAGGGUGCGAGCGUUGUCCGGAAUCACUGGGCGUAAAGGGCGCGUAGGUGGCCCAACAAGUCUGUGGUGAAAGCUCGACGCUCAACGUCGAGUCGGCCAUAGAUACUGUUGGGCUGGAGCACUGUAGAGGCUCAUGGAAUUCCGGGUGUAGCGGUGGAAUGCGUAGAGAUCCGGAAGAACACCGGUGGCGAAGGCGGUGAGCUGGGCAGUAGCUGACACUGAGGCGCGACAGCGUGGGGAGCAAACAGG
rnacentral:rRNA from 1 species